AGGCCCUUGUAGACUCAACCUGUUCCUCUUUGGCAAGCUUUUAAACCUCGUCCUCCAGGAAAGUGGGACCUCCACUCCUCUGCCAGGUCCCUAAGCCUGGGUCCCUCUCCCAUGAUCCCCUCCCACCGAGCAAUCCCAGUAACCCUCAAUUCUUCCACCUACUUCUCCAUUGUGGUCUCCGAGGGGAAGAAGAUGGUGUUCGGAAGCAAGCCUGGGGAUAUGAAAGGGCAGAAUGAGAGUGGGUGACUAUGGUCAGGAGGACCAGAACCCCACCAUUCUUGAGGACAAAGCAGAGAGGAGGGCUCUUCUUCAUCUUCUUCCUCCACAGAUGCCCUGAGGACUGUGUCCUCAGUAGUGCUUGCUGACUUAUGUACAGAGAGAACAAACAUCAGUCCCUCCAAUCUGUGAAGCGGAAACAAUAGGAAAGGCAGCUAAGAAGCAGAGGAACCUAGCAGGGAGCUUGCACAGUGGGGGCAGUUCACACCACACUGUGGUGAACACGUCACUCUCCGGGCUUUUCUGAGUUAGAGCGGCAAGCCCACUCCACGACUCCAUCCAGCGUGCCACACAGAACAGCCAAGCUGGGAACUCCACUGGCCAUCACAGUCCCUGGGUCGUGAGCCUAAUCAGAGGGGAACAAGUUUCCUUUAGGCUAGGCUACCUCUCCUCCCACCAGCCACACUCACUUCUCCCCAUCCCCUCUUUCUACUCGAGGGUUUAGCCACGGAUGCUUCGAAGCCUUUGGUUUUAUAAGCUGGGUUUUGCAGGGGGUCUGGGUUUGCUUCUCAAGACCUUAUGGGCUGAGACCUCCCUGGUAUCCAUGCAGGUUGGUUGAUUAAAAAAAAAAGUGUUUUCUUCACUGUGUAUCUGUCUUGCCCUCUUGGUUGGAAAGCUCUCCAAAGGAAAAAAGCCCCUGAAAAAGGGGGGGGGGGGGCAAAACUGGGUGUUCAUACAUGGAGUGUGUUUGUUUGAGACAGAGUCUCACUAUGUAGACCUGACUGAUUCAAGACUCACCAUGUAGACCAGGGUGGCCUUGAACUCAUAGACAUCUACUUGCCCAGCACUCUAAAAUGCUAGGAUUAAAGAUGUGAGCUGCUGCAUGCACCCCUCCUUCUAAAAC
rnacentral:lncRNA from 1 species